GGGAGAUAUUUAAAACAAGCUAUUAAAACACUUCUUAAAAUCAGGCUUUGAAAUUUGGAAAUAACUGAGAUUAGCCAAUUAGGAUUGGAGUGGAGAAAGAAGAGAAAGUCAGAAUGCCUGUUCAGAGGAAAGCCCGCAAAAACAACCCCCUGAAGACACCGCACUGAGAAAUGGAGAGGCCAUGGAGUUUUGCCUCAUCGCAAAAUCAGGGGAAGGAAUUCCAGCGUCACCAGGAGAGGAAUCGGGCCCAUCCGAGAGCGACCCUGAAGAUGGCCCACUGGUAAUCCCCUCAUUUUUUUGAAGGGGAGGCAGCACGUCAGAUCCCUAUCAUGAUACUGCCAUUCAAGUGGGGAGGGAAUUCUCCUGGAUUCUUUUACUCGUUUAUUGCUCUCAUCCUGUUUCCUAUGUAUCCUGUAAUUCCCUAGUUUAUAACUUUUACCCUAUUACCUAUUCUGCUCUGUGCUUUGAUUUACCUUGGGGAAUGUAUAAGGUGGGAGGGCCAUCUGUUUUCUAUCAGUUUGGAAGCCUUACAGAAGAAGCACAUGUGAACAACUCCUUAUCUCAUUCUCAGGACAACCGUUUCCACAAUAUCUUCGCACCUGUGUAUUGGCUCAUUCAACAUCAAACUAAGGGGAGGGGUUUCUAACCACUUUAUCCUAAUGGAAUUGCCUGGGGGGGGAGGUGUGAGCUCAGACCCUGCUUUGCAUUAUCUUUCAUUCACUUCCUUCCAAUAAAAGUUUCUUUGUUAAAUGCUAAA